UAGGGAAUCUUCCGCAAUGGGCGAAAGCCUGACGGAGCAACGCCGCGUGAGUGAUGAAGGUCUUCGGAUCGUAAAACUCUGUUAUUAGGGUAGAACAAAUGUGUAAGUAACUAUGCACGUCUUGACGGUACCUAAUCAGAAAGCCACGGCUAACUACGUGCCAGCAGCCGCGGUAAUACGUAGGUGGCAAGCGUUAUCCGGAAUUAUUGGGCGUAAAGCGCGCGUAGGCGGUUUUUUAAGUCUGAUGUGAAAGCCCACGGCUCAACCGUGGAGGGUCAUUGGAAACUGGAAAACUUGAGUGCAGAAGAGGAACGUGGAAUUCCAUGUGUAGCGGUGAAAUGCGCAGCGAUAUGGAGGAACACCAGUGGCGAAGGCGACUUUCUGGUCUGUAACUGACGCUGAUGUGCGAAAGCGUGGGUAUCAAACAGG
rnacentral:rRNA from 1 species